rnacentral:rRNA from 1 species
UACGUAGGGUGCAAGCGUUGUCCGGAAUUAUUGGGCGUAAAGGAUGCGUAGAUGGUAGAAUAAGUUACUGGUCAAUGUCAAACUCAAUUUGAUGGAAGCUGGUAAAACUGUUCGGCUAGAGGAUAGAAGAGGUUGACGGAAUUCUGUGUGGAGCGGUGAAAUGCGUUGAUCUACAGAGGAACACCAAAAGGCGAAGGCAGUCAACUAUUCCAUUCCUGACAUUGAGGCAUGAAAGCGUGGGGAGCAAACCGG